UGGGGAAUCUUGCACAAUGGGGGAAACCCUGAUGCAGCGACGCCGCGUGAGCGAUGAAGGUUUUCGAAUCGUAAAGCUCUGUCCUAUGGGAAGAUAAUGACGGUACCAUGGGAGGAAGCCCCGGCUAACUACGUGCCAGCAGCCGCGGUAAUACGUAGGGGGCGAGCGUUGUCCGGAAUUACUGGGGGUAAAGGGUUCGCAGGCGGCAUGGCAAGUCCGAUGUAAAAGGCGAAGGCUCAACCUUCGUAAGCAUCGGAAACUGUCAAGCUUGAGUGAAGGAGAGGCAAGUGGAAGUCCGAGUGUAGCGGUGGAAUGCGUAGAUAUUAGGAGGAAUACCGGUGGCGAAGGCGACUUGCUGGACUUCAACUGACGCUGAGGAACGAAAGCGUGGGUAGCAAACAGG
rnacentral:rRNA from 1 species